AGACUCAACUCGCGCUGCCGGCUUUGCUACUUCAAGUGUCAUUUUCCACAACCAGGCAAGUUUUUUCCUCUCUCUCUCUUUUUUUUUCCUCCUUCUCUCCCAACCAAAGAUGUUUCUUUCCUUUGCGUGUAGAUGAGGAGGACGCUGGUUGCCGUAGACAGAUACACCAGAGAGGGUGGGGGGAAGGGGAGAGAGGGAGAGAGGAAAGGGGGGGAGGGAAAGAGAGAUAGAGAGGAGAGGGAGAAAGAGAGAGGGGUGGACCCUGCUGGAUGGAGAUUCUGUUUUCUCCUUGCUAAAAUAGAAGUGAUUUGCAGGCUUUCCCUAUGGAAUCCAGUUUGACUUUCCCCAGAGCUAAACACAGGCACACUAACCCCAAAGGGAGGAGGCGGGGCCCGCGCAUCGAGGCCCCGCCCCUUCAUUUGCAUAACGUCAUCUUUCCGCCCACCGCAGCCAAUCGCGGCCCGGGAGCCGGCUCGCUGGCGGCGCCAGGCCACGCUCUCUCAUUAACAUCCCGCUCCCGGUGGCGCAGGGGAGCCGGCCAAAGUUCCUCGCAAAGUGGCGAGCGAAGGAGCGCUGAGCACUGACGUCUGGGCUGGGGAGGAGCGGGUCCGAGCGAGGACGGAGAGGGGACAGAGGGAAAGGGAGGCGGGUGUCUUCCUCAGGAAUUUGAGCUGGGGAUCUGCAUCCUGGCCAUUGCAGUCCUUUAGCAUCCUCGCCGCGCCCUGAGCGCGCUGGAGGCUCGCAGGCUGCGCCCUCCCAGGGCUGAUGCCGCGUCCUGCUCCGCCGUUCUGGGACGUCGGGGACAAAAGUGGAGGAGACGGGAGAGCCCGGGCAGAAAAAGCAGGACGCGCGUCCCAGAUAAUAAUAGAUCCCAUUUGUUGAUGGCUUUACGGGCAGGAACUCACUGAAUAUCCGCCACAGACCACGGCAGAUAAGACCACUCCGGCGUUUUACAGCUGCCGUGAAGAUGCCAAACCCACCAAGACUGCGCUGCCCCACCUCUCCGAGGCUGUCCUGGGAGUGCGGGUGACCCGCGAGCUCCAGAAUCUUUCCUUAAGGUGGAGCCACAGCGCCACCUCGCGAUCCUCCAGCUUCCCUCCCUCAUGGCCACGGAAGGCUGGCCCUUUCUGGUCCAAGCCCCCAGGGUCCCACACUUACUGGUUUUCCAUGCACUUUCAUUAUUUCCCUUUCUCUCUCUUCAAUGUUCCCUUAUCCUGAGUAUUGAGGUCCCCAAACGCGCCUUUCUACCCCACGUUUGGACAUAGCCGGAAUGUCUACCUCCUUCUCCAUCCGGUGAAGCACUGCUCCCCCUAAAAUCACCAGCUCAAAAGUCACCUCUAUGAAACCUUUUUAGACUUUUCCAACGCAGUCAUUCGUGCCUUUCCCUGGUUUCCCUACUGCUCGCAUCACAUUGGACAGGAAAUGCUAUUUAAACGUUUUUCUCCUCUCCCUAAUCAGGGAGCUCCUCUGAGAGGAGCCAUGGCUGUCCUUGCUUAUUCAACAAUAAAACCUAGUAUAUAUCAAGUGCAUACUAUGGAGCGUUUAAUGCACUGUACUGUGCAAAAACAUAUUGUCUUAUUUCAUUUUCCCAGCAAAAUCAUGAGGAAAGCACGAAUAUUGUUUCCCAUUUUGCAGAUGAAGAAACUGAGGUUAGAGAAAAUAAGUACCCAUCCAAGGUAGCAUUGCAGAGCCUCAUCCAAGUCAGCCUGUCGGAUGCCAGAGCCAACUUUUCUUAACCUCUGACUUGCAGACUUAUUCAGCUGUAUAUCCGUGGGCUUUGUGAUAGGAAAAGACACAGAAUGAGUACUUGUGUGUUUAUGAAUAAAUGUAUCUUUUAAAUUAUUUCUUCUCCUAGAGAGUUGGGUGUGGGAAGGCACUGCAAUUAUCAGAUACUUUGAUUGAAAUGUCACCACAAUUAUUUAUCUCUAAAGAGUAUUCCUCUGCUAAGUAGCUAGGAGACCUUGGUCAAGUCACUUCAUCCUCAGUUUCCUAAGUUCUAAAAGUAGGUUUUCUGUGGAGGAUUAAAUGAGAAAAAAAAAUGUGAAUUACAUGAUAUAUAGCAUUCUAGUCAUUGCUCAGUAAUUAUAAUAACUCGAAACUACUGAAACACACACAAAAAAAACAAAACACAAAAUUGACUUACCCUAGUCACACAGAAUUCCCUGUACCUCUGUAUGAAAUCAUCUUACUGUUAUAUCUUCAUUUUCAUCUUAGACAUGAAUUAUAUAAUAAAUAUUUUUAGUUUAUGGUGGUUAGGGUGUUAAUGUUAACCCUGCUCUGUUACAAAUAUUUAAGGGGUAGUGGGAGAGAUAUAAUCAAACAGUAAACCAGCAAACUUUGCCUCUUGUAAUUUCCUCCUGCUUUGUAGAUCUUUACCAAGAAAGAUUUAAAGAAAGGCUAUAAAAGUACUUAUUGGCCAGGCACGGUGUCUCACUCCUGUAAUCCCAGCACUUUGGGAGUCCGAGGCAGGUGGAUAACCUGAGGUCAGGAGUUCGAGACCAGCCUGGCCAAUAUGGUGAAACCCUGUCUCUACUAAAAAUACAAAAAAUUAGCCGGGCUUGGUGACGGGUGCCUGCAAUCCUAGCUACUUGGGAGGCUGAGGCAGGAGAAUCGCUUGAACCCAGGAGGCAGAGGUUGCAGUGAGCCAAGAUCGCACCAUUGCACUCCACCUGGGCAACAAGAACAAAACUCUGCCUCAAAAAAAAAGAAAAAAGAAAAAGAAAAAGAUGCUUAUUAUUCUGGAAAGUACAAAACUCUAUUUUUUAAUUUAGGGGAGAUUCUGAGCUAGUUUAAGUGUUUCCCUACUUGAAAACAUCAUUGCUACCAAUACAUUAAAAGUUUAAAAAUAUGUGUCUAAGCAAAUGAUUGUAUCCAAAUAAAAGAAAACUCAAAUAAAAUAAUGUAUUACUACUAAUAUAUUAAAAGUUUAAAAAUACAUGUCUAAGCAAAUGAUUGUAUCCAAAUAAAAUAAACAAAUGAAGGUUGUCUGAACAUAUUCUAGACCUUAAGACAUUUCCCAAAAAGGUUAAGUUUUAAAGAUUUAACAUCUCUUUCUAGAGUGACCCAUUAAACAAACAUUCCUAUUGUCAAUUAGGUGAAAAUGAACUUUUUCCCCUGUUACGGCUAUAACUUUCCUACUGUCCAAUUAUUUUGGAAAGACUGUUGACUAGUAUUGUCAUGUCAUAAACACAUGAUUUCUCCUCUGAGAAAUGAGGCUAAUAAAAUCCACAAAAGGUAUAAACGUGCCUCCACAUUUUGCUGGCCCACAGUCCAUUUCUAGAAACUUCACUCCAGCCCCAGUUUAAUUUACUUUAUUGUACUUGCUUCCCAUUCUAUGCAAUUCUCUUGUAUAGAGAUGAAGAAAUGGAUUCAGGAAACUCUAUAAUGUGUUAAGAUAUUUUAUUGUACAGCUGAUGGAUAUUUGGGAAUUUGAUUCAUAUUGAUGGUGUGAGACACUGGCGUUUUGACAAAGUUGGGGUGUGUUCUGUUUUCCUUUUUUAUUCCUAUUAUGGUGGCCAUUAGAGAUGUUCACCAAAAUUUUGGGUUUUCUUCUUCCAGGUGCAUAGAAGGAUGGAAGUAUUCUGACCCUUCUGCAUUUAGCUGUGAUCUUGUGAUUUGCCCUGGCAAAUAAUGAAUUAGCAGAAGUGACAUGUGUCACUUACAGGGGCAGAAGCAUGAAGAGCCAUAGUGCAAUUUACCAAAUCCCCUUCCCGGUGGCACAGCUGUUGCUGCCCCCACCAGAUGGAGUUUCCAUCAGCAUCCCACCCCUGGCACAGACGUGUGGAGUGGAGACAUCUCCUACACCCAUAGACAUUUAGCAAGAAUGAGAAAUAAUCCUUUGUUACUGUAAAUCCCAGAGAUUUUUCUGUACUGCAGUAUAACCUAGCCUCUCUGGAAGAAUACACUUAGAAAGGAAACUCAUCUUUUCUUUUCUUUUGGGGGGCAAUUUGAAAAUUCUUCUCCUAGAGUGAAAAGUAGACUGCCAUGUCUAAUUAAAUAAAAUAAUCAGAAAAUGAAAUCAUUCAACUAGAAAUCUGAAUCUCAUUUUCUUAGUCUAUUCAUACAUUUCCCCAGGGUCAAAACAUCUGGAACCCUCUGAAAUAAGGAGAAUAACUAAAUUUUACAAAUACUUAAAAGGAAUCUCAAAAUUAUUGCUAGACCUCGACAAGAAUAUUCAGUGGGUCCUUAGUCCACUUGCAGAUACAUCAUGAAGUGAGUUACAUAGGUUGUGAUUAGAAAAUACUUUAUUAGCAAUUGGCCAGGCACAGUGGCUCACGCCUGUAAUCCCAGCACUUUGGGAGGCUGAGGUGUGAGGAUCAUCUGAGGCCAGGAGUUUGAGACCAGCCUGGCCAACAUGACGAAACCCUGUCCCUACUAAAAAUACAAAAAUUAGCUAGGCGUGGUGGCACACGCCUGUAGUCCCAGCUACUCAGGAGGCUGAGGCAGGAGAAUCACUUGAACCCAGAAGGCGGAGGUUGCAGUGAGUCAAGAUCAUACCACUACACUCCAGCCUGGGUGACAGAGAGACCCAUUUCAAAAAAAAAAAGAAAAAAGAAAAAAAGAAAAGGCUUUAUUAGCAACUGUAUGCAGACAUAAAGUAACUUUUCUCUCUGCCUCAUGUUCAAUUCUAUAUCAGAUUGGCAAAAAGGAAAAAUAUUUGACUAAUCAACUUGAAUUUAAUAACGUGAUCUAGGGCAAGUCAUUUAAAUUUUCCAGACCUUCUUGUCCUCAUGUGGUGUGAUGGACUCAAUGUUUCUGCCUUGCCCCGCUCCUCUGCCCUGCCAAAUUCAUAUAUUGAAACCCAAAUGCACAAUGUGAUGGUAUUACUUCCCACAGAUAACUAGGAGGUAAUUAGGUUAAGAUGAGCCAUGAGGGUGGGAUUAGUGUCCUUAAAAGAAGAGGUAGAGACUAAAGCUAGCAAGCACUCUCCAUCUGUCUCUCUCCCUCUCUGUCUCUCCCUGUCAUACGAGGACACAACAAGAAGGUAGCUUUCUGCAAGGCAGGAAGAGAACCCUCACCAGAACCUCAUCAUGUUGGCAUCCUGAUCUCACACUUCCCAACUUCCAGAAUG
rnacentral:lncRNA from 10 species